AGUCGAGCGGAGAUGAGGUGCUUGCACCUUAUCUUAGCGGCGGACGGUUGAGUAAUGCUUAGGAAUCUGCCUAUUAGUGGGGGACAACAUUCCGAAAGGAAUGCUAAUACCGCAUACGUCCUACGGGAGAAAGCAGGGGAUCUUCGGACCUUGUCCUCAUAGAUGAGCCUAAGUCUGAUUAGCUAGUUGGUGGGGUAAAGGCCUACCAAGGCGACGAUCUGUAGCGGGUCUGAGAGGAUGAUCCGCCACACUGGGACUGAGACACGGCCCAGACUCCUACGGGAGGCAGCAGUGGGGAAUAUUGGACAAUGGGGGGAACCCUG
rnacentral:rRNA from 1 species